UUAGUGGAGAGUUUGAUCCUGGCUCAGGACGAACGCUGGCGGCGUGCUUAACACAUGCAAGUCGAACGCUGAAGCUUGGUGCUUGCACUGGGUGGAUGAGUGGCGAACGGGUGAGUAUCACGUGAGUAACCUGCCCCUGACUUCGGGAUAAGCCUGGGAAACUGGGUCUAAUACCGGAUAUGACCAUCUUUCGCAUGUUGGGUGGUGGAAAGUUUUUUCGGUUGGGGAUGGGCUCGCGGCCUAUCAGUUUGUUGGUGGGGUAAUGGCCUACCAAGACGACGACGGGUAGCCGGCCUGAGAGGGCGACCGGCCACACUGGGACUGAGACACGGCCCAGACUCCUACGGGAGGCAGCAGUGGGGAAUAUUGCACAAUGGGGGAAACCCUGAUGCAGCGACGCCGCGUGGGGGAUGACGGCCUUCGGGUUGUAAACCUCUUUCAGUAGGGAAGAAGCCUUUGGGUGACGGUACCUGCAGAAGAAGUACCGGCUAACUACGUGCCAGCAGCCGCGGUAAUACGUAGGGUACAAGCGUUGUCCGGAAUUAUUGGGCGUAAAGAGCUCGUAGGUGGUUUGUCGCGUCUGCUGUGGAAUCGUNNNNNNNNNNNNNNNNNNNNNNNNNNNNNAAGGAAUUGACGGGGGCCCGCACAAGCGGCGGAGCAUGCGGAUUAAUUCGAUGCAACGCGAAGAACCUUACCAAGGCUUGACAUGCACUGGAAUCGCCUAGAGAUAGGUGCGCCCUUCGGGGCUGGUGUACAGGUGGUGCAUGGUUGUCGUCAGCUCGUGUCGUGAGAUGUUGGGUUAAGUCCCGCAACGAGCGCAACCCUCGUUCUAUGUUGCCAGCACGUGAUGGUGGGAACUCAUGGGAGACUGCCGGGGUCAACUCGGAGGAAGGUGGGGAUGACGUCAAAUCAUCAUGCCCUUUAUGUCUUGGGCUUCACGCAUGCUACAAUGGUCGGUACAGAGGGUGGCGAUGCCGUGAGGUGGAGCGAAUCCCUUAAAGCCGGUCUCAGUUCGGAUCGUAGUCUGCAACUCGACUACGUGAAGUCGGAGUCGCUAGUAAUCGCAGAUCAGCAAUGCUGCGGUGAAUACGUUCCCGGGCCUUGUACACACCGCCCGUCAAGUCACGAAAGUCGGUAACACCCGAAGCCGGUGGCCUAACCCUUGUGGGGGGAGCCGUCGAAGGUGGGACCGGUGAUUGGGACUAAGUCGUAACAAGGUAGCCGUACCGGAAGGUGCGGCUGGAUCACCUCCUUUCUAAGGAG
rnacentral:rRNA from 1 species